rnacentral:rRNA from 1 species
GACGACGCUGGCGGCGUGCCUGACACAUGCAAGUCGGACGGUUCUUGCACCUUCAAGCUUGCUUGCUGGUGCAGGGAUAGUGGCGGACGGGUGAGUAACGCGUGAACAUCUACCCAUUGGAGGGGGACAACCCGUCGAAAGGCGGGCUAAUACCGCGUAAGCCGUGAGGUGAGAGGCUGCCUAUUGGUGGCCGCCGAUGGAGUGGGUUCGCGUCCUAUCAGCUGGUUGGUGGGGUAACGGCCUACCAAGGCGAGGACGGGUAGGGGCCUGAGAGGGUGACCCCCCACACUGGAACUGAGAGACGGUCCAGACUCCUACGGGAGGCAGCAGUAAGGGAUAUUGCGACAAUGGGCGAGAGCCUGACGCAGCAACGCCGCGUGCGGGAGGAAGGCCUUCGGGUUGUAAAGCUCUGUCUGGAGGGACGAACAAAAUGACGGUACCUCCGGAGGAAGCCACGGCUAACUACGUG